UCAAGAGGGAAGUUGUCUAGUUUCCGAUGACAACGAAUGUACCACCACAAUCCCGAUUCUCCAUCUUCCUGCAACCAGGCAAGGGACCAACCUGCGUCUUGCACCUUCCGUAACAUUCCCUCGCUGAUAUACACUUAACCAGACUUAAAGGACAACAGUCAUGACGGACUCCAAAUAUUUCACAACAAACAAAAAAGGGGAGAUCUUCGAACUGAAGGCAGAGCUGAACAAUGAGAAGAAGGAGAAGAGAAGAGAGGCAGUAAAGAAGGUCAUCGCUGCCAUGACAGUUGGCAAAGAUGUCAGUUCUUUGUUCCCAGAUGUGGUGAACUGCAUGCAGACCGACAACCUGGAGCUGAAGAAGUUGGUCUACCUCUACUUAAUGAACUACGCCAAGAGCCAGCCUGACAUGGCCAUCAUGGCCGUCAACAGCUUCGUCAAGGACUGUGAGGACCCCAACCCUCUGAUCCGGGCUCUGGCCGUCCGUACCAUGGGCUGCAUCCGGGUGGACAAGAUCACAGAGUACCUGUGUGAGCCGCUGAGGAAGUGCCUGAAGGAUGAGGACCCAUACGUCAGGAAGACGGCGGCUGUUUGUGUGGCUAAACUUCAUGACAUCAACGCCCAGAUGGUGGAGGACCAGGGAUUCCUGGACUCCCUGAGAGAUCUCAUUGCUGACUCCAAUCCCAUGGUUGUGGCCAACGCAGUCGCUGCCCUGUCUGAGAUCAGCGAGUCUCACCCCAACAGCAACCUCCUGGACCUCAAUCCACAGAACAUCAACAAGCUGCUGACGGCCCUCAACGAGUGCACGGAGUGGGGACAGAUCUUCAUCCUGGACUGCUUGUCCAACUACAACCCCAAGGAUGAGCGCGAGGCCCAAAGCAUCUGUGAGCGCGUCACUCCCCGGCUGUCUCACGCCAACUCCGCAGUGGUGCUGUCAGCUGUCAAGGUGCUGAUGAAGUUCUUGGAGCUGUUGCCCAAGGACUCAGACUACUACAACACCUUGCUGAAGAAGUUAUCCCCGCCGCUGGUCACCUUACUCUCCGGAGAGCCUGAGGUCCAGUACGUGGCUCUGAGGAACAUCAACCUCAUUGUCCAGAAAAGGCCUGAGAUCCUGAAGCAGGAGAUCAAGGUGUUCUUUGUCAAGUACAACGACCCUAUCUAUGUGAAACUGGAGAAACUGGACAUCAUGAUCCGCUUGGCCUCUCAGGCCAACAUUGCCCAGGUGCUGGCUGAACUGAAGGAAUACGCCACCGAGGUGGAUGUUGACUUUGUGCGCAAGGCUGUACGAGCCAUCGGACGCUGCGCCAUCAAAGUGGAGCAAUCAGCUGAGCGCUGUGUCAGCACCCUGCUGGACCUGAUCCAGACCAAGGUCAACUACGUGGUUCAGGAGGCUAUUGUGGUCAUCAGGGACAUCUUCCGCAAGUACCCCAACAAGUAUGAAAGCAUCAUUGCCACACUGUGUGAGAAUCUGGACUCUCUGGAUGAGCCCGAUGCCCGUGCUGCCAUGAUCUGGAUUGUUGGCGAGUACGCCGAGAGGAUCGACAACGCUGACGAGUUGCUGGAGAGCUUCCUCGAGGGCUUCCACGAUGAGAGCACCCAGGUCCAGCUCACUCUUCUGACUGCCAUUGUCAAGCUGUUCCUUAAGAAGCCGUCAGAGACUCAGGAGUUGGUACAGCAGGUCCUCAGCCUGGCCACUCAGGACUCUGACAACCCUGACCUGCGUGACAGGGGCUACAUUUACUGGCGCCUGUUGUCCACCGACCCUGUGACUGCCAAGGAGGUGGUGUUGUCAGAAAAGCCCCUGAUCUCAGAGGAGACAGACCUGAUUGAGCCCACCCUACUGGACGAGCUCAUCUGCCACAUUGGCUCCCUGGCCUCUGUCUAUCACAAACCUCCCAGCGCCUUCGUCGAGGGCAGUCACGGAAUCCACCGGAAACACCUUCCUGUGCAGCACAGCAGCAUUGAUACAGGUGAGAGCCCAGUGAGCAGCGGGCCAGCAGCUGCCAUGGACCAGCCACAUGUGAUCCCCAGCCAGGGUGACCUGCUGGGUGACCUGCUGAACCUGGACCUGGGCCCUCCAGUCAAUGUGCCCCAGGUCUCCUCCAUGCAGAUGGGGGCAGUGGACCUUCUGGGAGGAGGCCUGGACAGUUUGCUGGGGGGAGACCUGGGCGGCGGUGUUGGGGGAAGUCCAGCAGUGGGACAGAACUUCAUCCCCUCAUCUGUCCCCAGUACUUUUGCUCCGUCACCUACACCAGCUCCUCAAGCUGUCAGCAGUGGCCUUAGCGACUUGUUUGAGCUUUCCACAGGCAUGGCCAACACCACUGGAGGCUAUAUUGCCCCAAAAGCCGUGUGGCUGCCUGCAGUGAAAGCCAAGGGACUGGAGAUCUCUGGAACCUUCUCUCGCCGCCAGGGCCACAUGUACAUGGACAUGACCUUCACCAACAAGGCCCUGCAACACAUGACCGACUUCGCUGUCCAGUUCAACAAGAACAGUUUUGGGAUGAUCCCUACCAGUCCUCUGCCCGUUCACACUCCGCUGAUGCCCAGCCAGACUAUCGAGGUGUCUCUGCCUAUCAACACCAUUGGGCCAGUCAUGAAGAUGGACCCACUCAAUAAUCUGCAGGUGGCUGUGAAGAACAGCAUCGAUGUCUUCUACUUCAGCGUACUCAUCCCUCUCAACAUAUUCUUUGUUGAAGAUGGAAAAAUGGAGCGACAGGUGUUCCUGGCUACCUGGAAAGACAUCCCCAAUGAAAAUGAGCUACAAUACCAGAUAAAGGAAUGCCACCUAAACGCAGGACACUUACAACUCGCCCAUAAUUGAGCCACUAUUAUCCUGGCAGCAGGACGGCUAACAACCCAUGGUGGUUGUUCUUAGCAGGCCCGGUGUUGUAGAAUACCUCGCCAGGUUUACUGCAAUCUAAAGGGUUUCCAGUCAUAGUUAAUUGAAAUCCUCUUAGAGCUAAUUAACUCCCUGAGUUAAAAUUCCCUGAUAACCCUUUUGCCAGUAGUAGAGUGUGCAUUAGCUCGUGUGUGUACAUUAGUGUUAGUGCCUUUAGUGAUUACAGCCUCUUGUGUGUGUGUGUGUGUGUGUGUGUGUGUGUGUGUGUGUGUGUGUGUGUGUGUUUCAUGUGGUUUCUCUUUGUUCGGUAAUUCAGGUGUUAAUUACUUGACCUUGGUUCUGGUCUUGCAGACACAGUAUCAGGGAAGCUGCAGAAUAACAACAUCUUCACCAUUGCCAAGAGAAACGUAGAAGGCCAGGAUAUGCUCUACCAGUCCCUCAAGCUAACCAACGGCAUCUGGAUCUUGGCUGAGCUCCGCAUUCAGCCUGGCAACCCCAACUACACGCUGUCUCUCAAGUGUCGGGCCCCCGAGGUUUCUCAGUACGUCUACCAGACGUACGACGCUGUGCUGAAGAACUGACCAGCUCUCACACUUUGCAACUCGGCUUAAUCCUGACAACAAACUGCAGUGUUUUAUCCUUUUCUGCCGUCUGCAGCUAACUGCCAAAACAAAGGAACCCAAACAGUAAAUGGUACUCAAUCAUUUGGAACAUUGGGUGUAUUUUUCCUCUGAAGAGAUCAACCAGGCAAAUGUUAAUACUGGAUAAGUUGAACAGUACAAACAAUGUUGACGUUUCCUUCGUUUUGGCAGUGGAAAGCUUUACUGAAUCCACUUAUUCAACUCCCCAUUUCAAUGUUCACCUCCCAGUGAAACAAUGUCUGCCAUUCCAUCCUUAAUUCAGUGUCUCAAUGUUGUAAAGAUGUGACUGAUGGUAAAACUGUCAUGAGUGACAACAAAUCUCCCCAGUUUCCAUGAAGCCGUUGUUUUUUUAAAAUUUUGAAUGCUGUAUGGCUCACACUCCUUUUGGUUUUGAUUUAUUUUUGAUAUUGACUUUGCUUCAGUUGCACCUAGAGAAUAAUACCAGUGUUGAUUUGUUCCUUUUUGCCUUUUAAUGUGUGUGAAGAGUCCAAACCAACAAUGUGAUUGUCAGAAGCUACUUACGUCUGUCCUACAGCAGGUUUGCCUCCUGCAGGUUAUAGCUUAUUUCUAGCGACAUGCUGAAUUAACAAACAUUAUAAAUCACAUUGAGCACAUUGAGCAGCAUAUGCACUCCUGUUUUUUCCUGUCAUGACUUUAACACAGCGUCUUGUAUUUAAUGGCAUUACUUACGAUUUGUGCAGUGUGUAGAUAGAAACUACUUUUUCCUCCGUAAGUAUGAAACUGUGCAGUAAUUGAAAAAAACUUCAAAUGACAUUCCAAAACCAUUGGAAAAAGAAAAGAGCACCAGGAACUCUAAUGUAACUACUAAAUCCUGGCAUUUUAUUGCUGCUUCCCACCUGUGAAUUAUGUUAGUCACACUUCCCUGCCUGUCUCUUGCCUUUUGUGGUCCAUCUGGAGACUCUACAUCGCAGGUGAUAAAACACAGAAGCAGGUCCCGCAAAGGUCUUAAUUACAAACGGCUUUCCAUCACCUUUCAGCACGUACUGUCUUUAACACUCCACCUUUUUUUUUUUUUACCUCAGUUGAUGUGAAUGUCUUAGGAAUAUUUAGCUUUUUUUCUUUUCUUUGUCUUUUCGAUGUUUUAAUGCUCAAACUUUUUAAAAGAAAUCAUAAAAACAGGUGACUAGGAUGCACCAGAGCAUUCUAAAUGCAAAAAGGAAUCAAUUGUGAAAUGCCAUGCGAAGAAGCUUCAAUGGAACUGUUUUGGCAUAAAAGAGCAAAUAUUUCCGUGAUUAUAAAGUCAUGUUAGAAAGAAAAAAAAAAAUACAUGCAGUGUGGUGAGGUUUCUGCAGGCUGUUUAAGUGGAGGAACACAAAUCGUCAGUAAAACGGACAGUCGAGACGCUUCUGACUGCAAGUAACGCACAGUACAUUUCUUGAAUUCUUGUUUAAAUCGCAAGGUUGCCAUUGUUUUCAAAUUGAAAGUGUUCACUUAUGAGCUUGGAACCACUACACUAACCACAGCAGCUACUGAUUAUGUGCUCACACACAGCAGUGCCACUGUUUUAAGAACAUUUGCUAGUUCCUUUCACAUGUCAUUCUUUUUGUAAUAGCCCCGUUUACUGCAACCACAUCGUUUUCACAUGGCUUUAUGCACCUAUAUUGUCAUUCCUAUUUAUUGUGCAUCUACCUCUGCUGUUUCCUUUUUUAACUGGCUUUAUUGUGGCUGUAGCUUCAAUUCUGUAAUGUGCUUUAAAUGGCGUCGCCUUUUCUUUUCAUACCAGUGUUGUUUCUGUAAUCUUCAUGCCAUUGUUGUCAAGCCAGUCUAAACCUGUGGCAAGUCAGGCGGACCGAUCACACAGGACCAAGCAGUCACGCAAAUGAAAUGCCAAGCUUGUGUUUUAACACCCUAGUGUCAAUAUAAUCUCCUACUGUUGGCUUUGUGUGUGCUAUAGAUCAUAGGGUGCAUACGCCCUAAGGCCCAGAGUUGGGCGAGUAAAGUGUAGUCCAGUGAUGGUGUAGUUUAUGUAGCUAAUACAUUAAAAUGUUUUGGUAUUACCCUGAAAAGGAAAUGAAGCCUAACCUCUAUCUAUUCAACAGAAAAGGUCCUUUCAGCGUAACAGUUGUGUUGGUGACACUAUUUUCCUACAUGGUAAUGUAAAAAUACAUUUAUGUGCCUGCAUGAACCCACUGUCCAUUUUAUCCUUUUUUUUCAUUUAGGCUGUGGCUUUGCUCCAUUUAAAAAUGAUUCUCCCAUCUUCACGUCUCUGUUGUAGAUCUCAUGUUUCUUUUUUUUGAGCAGCAUUGUCUCCAGCGCUCCCACACAUAGAGGUAUAUCCACAACUUUUGCCAGCAAUACAGAAAGUAUGGUGAGAGCUAUCUUAUUCCUAGCAUCAUUGCUGUAGCCCUGUUGUAAAUGAUUUGUUAUUGUCACAGUACCACAUCUUAUGUCAUUAAAAUGUAAAAAAAA